GACGAGCUCUCCAAACGUUAUUCGGUAUUACUGGGCUUAAAGAGUUCGUAGGCGGCUUUGAAGGUGAGGUGUGAAAGCCCUCGGCUUAACCGAGGAAUUGCGCUUCAAACCGUGAGGCUUGAGGGAGACAGGGGUAAGCGGAACAGAUGGUGGAGCGGUGAAAUGCGUUGAUAUCAUCUGGAACACCGGUGGCGAAAGCGGCUUACUGGGUCUUUUCUGACGCUGAGGAACGAAAGCUAGGGUAGCGAACGGG
rnacentral:rRNA from 1 species